AUUGAACGCUGGCGGCAUGCCUUACACAUGCAAGUCGAACGGCAGCACGGGUGCUUGCACCUGGUGGCGAGUGGCGAACGGGUGAGUAAUACAUCGGAACGUACCUUAUCGUGGGGGAUAACGCAGCGAAAGCUGUGCUAAUACCGCAUACGCCUUGAGGGGGAAAGCGGGGGAUCGAAAGACCUCGCGCGAUUAGAGCGGCCGAUGCCUGAUUAGCUUGUUGGUGGGGUAAAAGCCCACCAAGGCGACGAUCAGUAGCUGGUCUGAGAGGACGAUCAGCCACAGUGAGACUGAGAACCGGCCCCGGCUCCUACGGGAGGAAGCAGUGGGAAAUUUUGGACAAUGGGGGCAACCCUGAUCCAGCAAUGCCGCGUGAGUGAAGAAGGCCUUCGGGUUGUAAAGCUCUUUUGUCAGGGAAGAAACACCGGCUCUAACACAGUCCGGGAAUGACGGUACCUGAAGAAUAAGCACCGGCUAACUACGUGCCAGCAGCCGCCGUAA
rnacentral:rRNA from 1 species